GCGGAGCCCGGCGGAGCGAAAGAGCUAAGCGAUCCCGGCAGCACUGAAAGCCUGGUUCUCACCUCGACCUUGACGCGGUUGUCCUGCAGGGACCCCCAAAUCACUGCAGGGAGGGGAUAGUGCUGGAAUGCCUCCAGCUGAACAGGGCUGCUCCUGUGGCCUGACUGAGUGACAGAAGAUGCAAGAAUACUGGCUGCUUGUGACCUCCACGCAUGGACCUCCUCUGGCAGUCCUUGCAUUCCACUUUCCUCAAUCUACUCUGGGUGUUUCCUCUCCGUGUGUUGUAAAUCCCCCAAAGCCAAAUAUACCCGCAAAAGCAGGGGACACCCACGUAAAUGAUUAGCAAGGCCCCACUGAAGCGAAGUUGAAGCAAAGCUGACCUAAGGCAAAGGCAUCUCUGAAGGGUGGCUAACCAGCCGACCGUAUUUUUCUUAAAUGUACAUUGGGGUUUUACCUGCAUGUCUGUCUGUCUGAGGAUGCCAGAUUUCCUGGAGGAGCCAUAUGGGUGCCGGGAAUUCAACUCGGGCCCUUUGGAAAAGCGGCCAGAGUGGCCAGUGCUCUUAACCGCUGAGCUAUCUCUCCAGUCCCACUGACCAUAAUUUUUAACGUAUGAAUUAGGGUUGUCAGAUAAAAAUCCCAGGAUGCCCAGUUAAAUUUGACUUUCAGACAGGCAAUGAAUAAUGUUUUACUGUAAAUUUAUUGCAUGAAAUAUUUGAUAAAAGAAUGUCUGAGAUAUUACAGAGCAGACAAUAAAAAUUAUUUAUUGUCUAAAAUACAAA